UGCGCCAUAAUGAAGCCCAUGUUUUGACUGUUGACAUCGUAUGAAUACUAUCUUAUCCUAUGUAAAGAUUCUGCUGAACAAAUGUAACCAUCUUCAUCAGAGUCACAGGAAUCUGCGACAACAUUUGUAAACACAGGUAUUCACAGUCAAACUGGUGAGAUGGCGUUUAACUUCUGUGUCCCCAUGCUGCGCUGGAGCCAAGCAGUAGUUCUUGCUUGUCCAGGUGGAACGAGUGAGCUGGUGAGCGAGUCCUUGCACCAUGCCAGCAGAGGGACAGGAGAGGAGGGGAUUCCUGCUGUGAGCUUGUAAUGGUCCGAGCUAGCAGUCUGCCACUUGUUGGUCAGAUUGGAGAGCCUUCUGUUGUCACUGGAGCAACUCCUCUGCCAUUCCAUCCUACCAGCUUCUGCACUGUUCGGUUUCUGUGGCAUUACAGAGAACUGAACAUUUCUUUACCUGAAUCUAUAGCACUGGAACGAAAAACCAGAGAACAGAGCACAAACAACGUGUUGUUCCAUGCAAGGUUUGACCGAUUCACAUCAACCUCUUUAAAAAGAAUUAAUGUGGUUUUAUUGUAAAUCCUGAUGUACCACACUUUGGUACAUCACCAGACUGUAAGGUGUAAGGGAGUGAAAGCUUUUAUAAAUGAAGUGUCCUUCCAAGAACAGCUUUGCAGAGUGUUCCUACCUUUGUGAGAGGGCAGAUAGCAGCUAUACAAUAAAAGAAUGUCACCAUUGUCA
rnacentral:lncRNA from 1 species